CAUUAUGGAAAUUGUCGAUAGCGUAAGCGACACACAUUUCUUGGUACUAAUGUUUGUCUGGAAGUAAAUGGAAAUGAAACAUAAUGAAGGUACAAUAUUGUCGAUACUGUUACGUGGGGUGUUGUUUUUCCGGUGUCGACAGACGAGGCAGGUAACAUUUAACAUUUCCAAUUGUGUUAUAUGAAUUCAAUUUUGCAAAUUGAUUUUUUAUGAUUUUCCCUGCACUGGCUAUGUUUUAUAUGUCUCUGGUAAUAUAUAGUAAAAUAAUUACCGGUGUCAUACCAUGAAAGAACAACCCCUCAUCUGAAAUCAGGAACAAAAGUGUUCACGGUCACUACAAAAGAUAAAUGUUAUCAACAGUCCGUCUAAGUCCCUCGCUUUCAACAUUUUGCAUAUCUAUAAAUGUCAAAUGGAAUGCUCCACAGUACGGUUUAGUGAUACACGCAAUGCAUUGUGGGAGGACGAUGGCGGGGAUGAGCAGGGGAAAAGAGCCGGCCUAUCCCGAUUCCCAAGACACAGAAAAUAAGCACUGGUGCACAUCCAGUACAAGAAAAUGAUGCUAGACUUUCAUACCAAAACCAACAUGUAAACAGGAAAACAAAAGUUGCUUUGAAUGCAGAAAUAGAUCAAGAUUCUUGUGAGGAAGACAAUGAUUAUGUCCCAACUGAUGAAGAAUCGUCGGAAGAACCAUCAAGCACCACAUUUCCAUCAAAGAGAAAAAGAUGGACAGUGGAUGAGGAGAAUGUCCUGAGAUUUGAAUUUAAUAAGAACUUUAAAGAUAAAAACAUGCAAGAAAUGCUGAAGCACUGAAAGUAAAAAACAAAUACAAAUUUCUUGCUGUUAGAAAUAUUCAUCAGAUAAAGAGUAAAGUGCAACAUAUGCUGAGACGUAAAUGAGUUAACAAAGUUAGGACUUUUGUCAUGCAGUCAAACAUGAUGCUGUGUUAACAUCUUGAAACUAGAACAGUAGCUCCUGAAAAAAAUACCCUGGACUUAUUUUUUUAUCACCUGAGUUAACUUAGAGGUGGAUAAACAAGAGAAUGCUUCAUGGUUUAGAUUGAAGAUUGAAUGUUUAUAUGCAUUAUACCUGUAUACACUCACUGCUUCCUGUCUGCAUCAUUUGUCCCUGAAGUGUGACCUCAUGGUUGGGGUUUUUAGUCAUUUUAAAAUCAUAAUGUCAGCAUUAAGAUGUUAUAAUUUCUUAUACAAUACUUUAUUAUUAUACCCCCCGCAAUAAGUUGUGGGGGGGGGGGGUAUACUGGAAUCGGGUUGUCCGUCUGUCUGUCCGUCCGACCGUCUGUAGACGCAAUAGUUUCCGGGCACUAAAGCAUUAUCCUUUCCACCUACCGUCACCAUAUCAUAUAUAUGGACUACCCAUGGGAUGAAGAUGUUCCCUAUCGAUUUUGGGAUCAAAAGGUCAAAGGUCAAGCGCACUGGACAUUGAAGUAGCAAUAUGGUUUCCGGGCUCUAAAGCGUUAUCCUUUCCACCUACAGUCACCAUAUCAAACAUAUGGACUACCCAUGGGAUGAAGAUGUUCCCUAUCGAUUUUGGGGUCAAAAGGUCAAAGGUCAAGCGCACUGAACAUUGAAGUAGCAAUAUGGUUCCCGGGCUCUAAAGCGUUAUCCUUUCCACUUACAGUCACCAUAUCAUAUAUAUGGACUACCCAUGGGAUGAAGAUGUUCCUUAUGGAUUUUGGGGUUAAAAGGUCAAAGGUCAUGCGCACUGGACAUCGAAGUAGCAAUAUGGUUCGGUUUGUCAUGCCAUUUGUUUUUUAUACUCAGAAAAGAGGUAGUUUAUACCUAUUACCAACACCCUUUGGGAGAUUGGGGUAAGCGGGGGUAUUCCUAGUGAGCAUUGCUCACAGUACCUCUUGCUUGUUGCUGUUUUUGUUUAAGGUUAAGUGAACAUGAUUGAAAUAUUAUGUGAGUACACACCCUAUGAUAACUACAUUGUAUCUGCAUCUUUUGUCCCUAGGGUGUAGUUUGAAUUGCAUUAAUGUAAAGAUAUAAAGGUUUUUUUAAAAACUGCUAUGAGUAUUGCAUCUAUUGCAUAUAUUUUAAAAGUCUAUUACAAAUGCAUUUUAGAAAUACUUAUAGUAUAAGAAGACAGUCAUGUUGCAUAUCUAAUGGGUAGGUUAUUAAAAAGGUUAUAAUAUCUGUCCUUCGGAGGGUUAUAAUCAAACACUUGAUGCAGGCAAGCACAAGGUGACUGGCACCUCUGGUUUUUAGCUCUACUAGACCAGAAGAGCUUAUGUUAUGGUAAAGUGUCCUUUUUCCAUCCAUCUGUCUGUCUGUAUGUGAACAAUUUUUAAAAUGCUACAACUCCUACACAUUUUGUCCGAUUUCAAUAAAACUCGGUGCAUGGGUAGACUACAUUAAGAUGCACAAUUCUGUACAUUUGUUCUUAAUUUCAAUGAAUGAUGUUGCCAUGGUUACAAAAAACAAAUAAUCUGAAACUCUUUCCAAAAACUACUCCGACGACAGUUUUGGUCUGAUUUAAAUAAAAUUUUGUACACAAGUAAAUUACAUCAAAAUCCAUAAUUCUAUUUAUCAGUUUUUGAUUACAUUAAAUGGUGUUGCCAUGGUUACUAGAAGAAGAAGAAUCUAUAAAAUUCUUUCAAAAUGCUACAAAAAUUGCACAGUUUUGACCUAAUUUCAAUUGAAUAUUACAAGUUCACACCAGUAGAGCUAUAGCCUUAUUAGAGAAUUGGUUAUAAUUAUACCAUGAAUCUAAUUAAACUAUAUAAUAAAAUGAAGAAGAAAGAAUGCAAAUCUAAUACCUAAGUUGUUUUUUUUUUCAAUGACAUAUUAAUUUUCAGCAAAUCUAUUCUUAUGUGUUAUUUUAUUAUUUAAAAAAAAAAAAAAACAUUAAUAACCAUGAUGUAGUGUUUUAUCGAUAUCAAGAAUGUUCAGAUCUAUUGAUCAUGUAUAUGAAAUGAUGCAUAAAACAUUUUCCUAACUUUGAGAAAUAAACUAUAAUCUUUAACUGAUAAAGUGUUACCUUAUUAGUGUU